ncrna:unclassified sequences PhotoRC-II RNA
UAAGGCAUUUUCUCCCCUAACCGAGACCUAUAGGGAGAAUAAAUUACGUCUCUCAUAUCCACCAUUAAAGGGACUGGUGGAAAUAUUAAUAUCG